CCGGCGGGACUUGGUGCUCCGCUCCGCUCCAAGUUGCAGCCCGCGGCUCGGCCCCCGGCAAGGCGGCGGUGGCAGGGGAGCUGCUGGGGCCGGGAUGAGGGCGGUGAGGCGGGGCGGCCCGCGGGCCCUGUGGCAGCCGCUGGUGCUGGUGCUGGUGCUGGUGCUGGCCGUGGCGUGCGCGGCGCGCAGCGCCGACGAGCCCAGCAACAUGUCCUACGUGAAGGAGACCGUGGACGGGCUGCUGCACGGCUACGACAUCCGCCUCAGGCCCGACUUCGGAGGGCCGCCCGUCGGUGUGGGCAUGCGGAUAGAGAUCGCCAGCAUCGACGUGGUGUCCGAAGUCAACAUGGAUUACACCCUUACCAUGUACUUCCAGCAGUCCUGGAGGGAUAAAAGGCUUUCUUAUUCUGGAAUACCUCUGAACCUAACACUGGACAACAGAGUGGCUGACCAGCUCUGGGUGCCUGACACAUAUUUCCUAAAUGACAAGAAAUCAUUUGUCCAUGGGGUGACAGUGAAAAACCGAAUGAUUCGGCUCCAUCCAGAUGGGACAGUCCUUUACGGUCUACGGAUCACGACAACAGCUGCUUGCAUGAUGGAUCUACGCAGAUAUCCUCUGGAUGAACAAAAUUGCACACUAGAAAUUGAAAGUUAUGGAUACACAACUGAUGAUAUUGAAUUUUAUUGGAAUGGAGGAGAGUCUGCAGUAACCGGAGUUAGUAACAUUGAGCUCCCACAAUUUUCUAUUGUUGAUUACAAGAUGGUAUCAAAGAGAGUGGAGUUUACAACAGGAGCAUAUCCUCGGUUAUCACUUAGCUUCCGGCUCAAGAGAAAUAUUGGCUACUUCAUUUUGCAGACCUAUAUGCCUUCCACAUUGAUCACUAUUCUGUCGUGGGUAUCUUUUUGGAUCAAUUAUGAUGCCUCUGCAGCCAGAGUUGCUCUAGGAAUCACAACCGUGCUGACGAUGACCACCAUCAGCACCCACCUCAGGGAGACCUUGCCAAAGAUUCCCUAUGUCAAAGCAAUAGAUAUUUACCUGAUGGGAUGCUUUGUGUUUGUGUUUCUGGCCUUGCUGGAGUAUGCCUUUGUAAACUAUAUAUUCUUUGGGAAAGGACCCCAACGUCAAAAAAAGACAGCAGACAGGACAGGACAUGCUGCAGGCGAGAGGAACAGACUGGAAACAACUAGAGUCCAGGUAAAAUGUUCAAAUUAACUUUUCAAACAUUACUUCUGCUGUGACAAUGUUGAUGAAUAUGAUGAUCGAGAGAAAUACUGUUCAAACACAUGCAAAAAUCACUUAAGAUUGUCUAUAGAAAAAAUAUAUUUUAAGGAGAUUACAGUAACGUAUUUUUUUCAGUCUUCAACUCAAAACAGAGUAGGAAACUACAGAAUAUGUGAAUGGCUAUUGAGAAGAAGCAUUUAUUUGCAGCACAGAAGAAAGAAAAGGGGAACAAGGAAGUUGAACAUUUACCAUUUCAACUGUAAAGAUGGACUUUUCUAUAGAAGUUGGUACAAAAUAAAUAUUUAAUAUAGAGUUUCCUUUUAUACACAGAAACCUCACCAAAAAUAGAAAGCAAAGACAGAUUCUGUUGCUACAGUGAGUCUUGAAUGAAACCCACACCACUGAAUUCUCAGAAAUUCUCAGUGGAAAAUACGUCGUAAUGAGCCCAAAGAAUUUUUGCUGCUCUCUUAUUUUCUACAAUAUAUUCCAUCCAAGUAUCUGGAUGGAUCUUAUCCAGGCUACCUCUUAAAAUUCUGUUCUGCUGUGGCCUGAGGUGGUAACUUUUGGACAAAAAUCUAUUUGAGCUCUCCGUUCAGCUUGAAGAAAAAGACUAACAUAUAAAACUCUUAAAAGGUAAGCCAUUAGCUUGAUGGAUGGUUGCAGUUUCACAUACAUGUCAGGAAGUGCAUUUCCAAAACUGUGGUGUUUUAUUAGUGCUAGAGUUGUGUGUCCAACUAGAUGUCUUGUGUUCCAGCAGCCACACCACUGCUGUUAGGCGUCAUGCUCUCAGUCCCAGUGAACUCAUGAGCCCAUUAAAAGUCCUUACCUGCAUUUGCCUCCUGUCCCAAUAUGUAGGAGAUGCUUUAUUACAGUGAAUGCACAAUUUCAGCUCAGACUUGCAGCAGUCUCCGAGGUCCCACAAAUUGUCCUCCACAAAGCAGAGGAGAUAUGGAUUGUUGUCGCCAUUUUGGAUUGCUGUGUGUAGAUACUGUCUGUCUGAUUCUGCGGAAAAUAAGGAAGGAAAAAAAAAAUCCACACACUGGGACCAGCUACUUCCACAGCUUCUGGGCUAAUCCAUCCUAAGUGAAAAAGCACAACAGGGGUUCAUGAUGAAGAGGAAAGCCUUGGCUACAUAGGCCCCAGCGCACUCACCGGAGUCAGGAUAAGAGAGUCAGAGUGGAGGUAAGCUCUUUUUCCUACACAUUUGGCUAGUUUGAUUGAAUAUCAAAAAGACCUAGCUCAUAUAAAAGAGCUUUGUCUAAAUGUUAUGUUGGUGAAGAUUACCCAAAGAACAAUAAGCAGAAUGGGAUGGAAUAGAUUUAUUAACACACUUGAGCUUUUCAGAGCACAACAUAUAUACACCAGCAUUCUUCUGACAGCAAAUGUAAAGAACACCUAUUUUAUAUGAGGAUUUGUAAGUGUUCACACUUUAGGUUGAAAUUACAUUUUGAUACUGAGAACUCUUAAAUUCAGUAGAAUGCUUUCUGUCUGUACAGUGCAGGUUUGUGAUUUUAGAUAUAUGUAUACACAUAGACAGACACGCAUAUACAUAUAGAGACAGAUGAACAGAUAUCAAUGAAGUUAGUUAUCGCACUGGAGACACAUCAGUGUGUGACGUUGUGAGCACUCAUUUUAGUCAGUGUGGAAAUUAUGAUGUCCCACAGCAGUAUGUCUGUCUUCAGCAGGCAGAAUGCACAUGAUCAGAGCAGAGCAAUUCAAUAAGCUUGUGUGACCUCUAGCGAAGACAGCUCCCAGCCCUUCUUCAUCAUCUUUUCAGAUAUUUCAUUGAUAUUAUAAUGGCUUGUACUGGAGCAGGGAAAAGCUUUUUUGGAACUCAAAAGAAGUACAGCUGUGAAGAUAUUGCUUAUUUCCAUCUGACUUACAGCCCUCCCAACUAAAAGAGUUUGACUUCCUUCACCAG